AGGAGCUGUUCAUCCACUGCGUCCUUUGCAAAGACCUCACUAGUUUUCUAGGUUUGUUUGGAGCUGCUUUAAGUUAAAGACCUCCCCGUCAAUCCGCAGUAGUGCUGGACCCGCUCUUUCUCGUCAAAGCAAACUUUUCGAGCUCACCUGUGAAUGGCUCAAGUGAUGGCAAGGCUUGCUCUGGAGGUCAGAAGAUCCAGGAGACAGCAGCCAAAAGGAGGGAGCUGAAGAAGCAGGCCAAGUGAAAGUGGCUGAUGGAGUGGUGGGAACAGCCCAAGCUGACAGUGCUGGGACAGUUCCCGGGCACGGCAUGAGGCAUUGAGGGGAAAGGAUUAUUACUCACCUCCUGGAUUACUGUCGCUGCUCUUCAAUGCCUUCCCAUGCUCACCUGCCUGUUCACCCAUCACCAGCUGCCUCAUAGGUUCAAGGUUUUCUGGCAUCCUCCCCUUCCCCACUAGCUUGG